CCUCCACAACCACUCUUUAACCUGAACUAUCCGUCUUGGCAUAGAGCCUCUGCUCAUUCAGUCCUAGAGCUGGGUGGUGAGUAGCAGAAUUGCUAGUUACCAUCUACCCCUACUCCCUGAACAAGUUUAGGCCCUUUUAUACUAGUUGUGGGACCUCUUCUGGUACUCGGCCUCUCUCUUGCAUUAGCAUACUCCUUCGAGCUGUUCCUAUUGAGUUCCUAUUCCCCCUGUCCUCAGACCUCUGCCUCCCUAUGCGGACCUGAGCUGGAAAAAUGACUCACCAUAUUUUGUCAAGAAAUUGGCUGUACUUCUUGCUACUACUAUUCCAUUAUCUUGGCUCUGCCCCUCUGAGAUCCUGUUUGAUAAAGCAGUUGAAAGGCCCACGAUCAUCUAGGGAAAAGCAGAAAGGCCUCUAUCAAAGAAAAUCUCCCUCUAAGUACAGCCAGGCAUCCAUUUCAACCAUCUAGAUUCCCAAGGAGACUAGCUACCAAAUGACUCCCCUGUUAAAGGCUGGCCCUUCAUCCAUAGGAUAAUAGUAUGUUUAAAAGUAUUGUUUUGGUCAGGAACACACUGGAUCCAUAUUCAUUGUCACUUUAAGAGGUGUGGUCUAACUGGGAAAAUGUGUGAAGCCUGGGGAUAGAGCCACUGCUUGCUAAAAACAAUACGGGCCUGAGAAGACCUGGGUUUGAAUUCUAGUGCUCUAGACUAUGGGAAAAUCACUUAUCUUUGAGCCUCAGUUUGCUUAUGUCUUAAAAAGGAAAUGGUAAUAAUACAUCAUAGGGUGGUUAUGAGGAAGACAAGGCAAGAUUAUUGCAGGACUGUUAUCUACCAGCAUUUCUCCCAACAUGGGGUAGUCCCAGACCCCUCCUACUUUCCUCCUCUAACAGAGAUUGGUUUUCCCUAAAAUGGGACAAAGCUGUUUCUCCCUCUUCACCUGAUUGGGAUACCCAUUGAGGACAUAAUGUUGAAAUCUGGAAAGUCAGAAGCACAGCUGAGACAGGAAUGAAGGCUUGCUGGCCUGGUUUCCUCUCCAAAAUGGAAGCUCUGGGUAGAAUUCACCUAUGGGAGAAGGGGCCUGGCAUAAAAGAUUGAUUCAUCAAGGCAGGAAGAGAUAAAGGGUCACAAAGAAAAUGUUGGAGACAGGAUUUCAACUCAUCUUCUUGGCUCUAGGUCUAACCUUCUGUCCACUCAACCAUCUAGCUAUAAAGUAUGCUUAUUAAAGUAAGCAGCAAAGUGCUGUUGAGACAA